rnacentral:rRNA from 1 species
UACGUAGGGUGCGAGCGUUAAUCGGAAUUACUGGGCGUAAAGCGUGCGCAGGCGGUUUGCUAAGACCGAUGUGAAAUCCCCGGGCUUAACCUGGGAACUGCAUUGGUGACUGGCAAGCUAGAGUGUGGCAGAGGGGGGUAGAAUUCCACGUAUAGCAGUGAAAUGCGUAGAGAUGUGGAGGAAUACCGAUGGCGAAGGCAGCCCCCUGGGCCAACACUGACGCUCAUGCACGAAAGCGUGGGGAGCAAACAGG